GACGUAGGGGGCGAGCGUUGUCCGGAUUCAUUGGGCGUAAAGCGCACGUAGGCGGUUCGGAAAGUCGGAUGUGAAAACCCGGAGCUCAACUCCGGGCCUGCAUCCGAUACUCCCGGACUAGAGGUAGGUAGGGGAGAUCGGAAUUCCUGGUGUAGCGGUGAAAUGCGCAGAUAUCGGGAAGAACACCCGUGGCGAAGGCGGUUCUCUGGGACGGUACUGACGCUGAGACGCGAAAGCGUGGGGAGCGAACAGG
rnacentral:rRNA from 1 species